CCUACGGGUGGCAGCAGUGGGAAUAUUGGACAAUGGGGGCAACCCUGAUCCAGCCAUGCCGCGUGUGUGAAGAAGGCCCUCGGGUUGUAAAGCACUUUCAGUGAGGAAGAACGCCUGGUGGUUAAUACCCAUCAGGAAAGACAUCACUCACAGAAGAAGCACCGGCUAACUCCGUGCCAGCAGCCGCGGUAAUACGGAGGGUGCGAGCGUUAAUCGGAAUUACUGGGCGUAAAGCGCGCGUAGGUGGCUUGAUAAGCCGGUUGUGAAAGCCCCGGGCUCAACCUGGGAACGGCAUCCGGAACUGUCAAGCUAGAGUGCAGGAGAGGAAGGUAGAAUUCCCGGUGUAGCGGUGAAAUGCGUAGAGAUCGGGAGGAAUACCAGUGGCGAAGGCGGCCUUCUGGACUGACACUGACACUGAGGUGCGAAAGCGUGGGUAGCAAACAGGAUUAGAUACCCCUGUAGUC
rnacentral:rRNA from 1 species